rnacentral:rRNA from 1 species
CCUACGGGAGGCAGCAGUGGGGAAUAUUGCGCAAUGGGCGAAAGCCUGACGCAGCGACGCCGCGUGAGGGAUGAAGGUCUUCGGAUCGUAAACCUCUGUCAGCAGGGAAGAACGGUCACUGUGCUAAUCAGCAGUGAAUUGACGGUACCUGCAACGGCAGCACCGGCUAACCCCGUGCGAGCAGCCGCGGUAAUACGGAGGGUGCGAGCGUUAAUCGGAAUUACUGGGCGGAAAGCGCUCGUAGGCGGUAUGUCAAGUCAAGGGUGAAAGCCCCGCGCUCAACGUGGGAACUGCCUUUGAAACUGUGAAACUGGAGUGUGUGAGAGGAUAGUGGAAUUCCAGGUGUAGGAGUGAAAUCCGUAGAUAUCUGGAGGAACAUCAGUGGCGAAGGCGACUAUCUGGAACAUAACUGACGCUGAGGAGCGAAAGCGUGGGUAGCAAACAGGAUUAGAUACCCUAGUAGUC